CACGAAGGGGGCUAGCGUUGCUCGGAAUCACUGGGCGUAAAGCGCACGUAGGCGGAUUGCUAAGUCAGGGGUGAAAUCCUGGAGCUCAACUCCAGAACUGCCCUUGAUACUGGCGGUCUCGAGUCCGGGAGAGGGUGAGUGGAACUGCGAGUGUAGAGGUGAAAUUCGUAGAUAUUCGCAAGAACACCAGUGGCGAAGGCGGCUCACUGGCCCGGUACUGACGCUGAGGUGCGAAAGCGUGGGGAGCAAACAGGG
rnacentral:rRNA from 1 species